rnacentral:rRNA from 1 species
GAUGAACGCUGGCGGCGUGCUUAACACAUGCAAGUCGAACGGAAAGGCUCCUGCUUGCAGGGGUACUCGAGUGGCGAACGGGUGAGUAACACGUGGGUGAUCUGCCCUGCACUUCGGGAUAAGCCUGGGAAACUGGGUCUAAUACCGGAUAGGACGAUGGUUUGGAUGCCAUUGUGGAAAGUUUUUCGGUGUGGGAUGAGCUCGCGGCCUAUCAGCUUGUUGGUGGGGUAAUGGCCUACCAAGGCGUCGACGGGUAGCCGGCCUGAGAGGGUGUACGGCCACAUUGGGACUGAGAUACGGCCCAGACUCCUACGGGAGGCAGAAGUGGGGAAUAUUGCACAAUGGGCGCAAGCCUGAUGCAGCGACGCCGCGUGGGGGAUGACGGCCUUCGGGUUGUAAACUCCUUUCGCUAGGGACGAAGCGCAAGUGACGGUACCUGGAGAAGAAGCACCGGCUAACUACGUG